AAAGAGCUCGUAGGCGGUGUGUCACGUCUGCCGUGAAAACCUGCGGCUUAACCGUGGGCGUGCGGUGGAUACGGGCAUCACUUGAGUUCGGUAGGGGAGACUGGAAUUCCUGGUGUAGCGGUGGAAUGCGCAGAUAUCAGGAGGAACACCGGUGGCGAAGGCGGGUCUCUGGGCCGAUACUGACGCUGAGGAGCGAAAGCGUGGGGAGCGAACAGGAUUAGAUACCCUGGUAGUCCACGCCGUAAACGUUGGGCGCUAGGUGUGGGGCGCUGUUCACGUGUCCCGUGCCGUAGCUAACGCAUUAAGCGCCCCGCCUG
rnacentral:rRNA from 1 species